rnacentral:rRNA from 1 species
GGUGCCUGCGGAGGGAUCAUUACACAAAUAUGAAGGCGGGCUGGAACCUCUCGGGGUUACAGCCUUGCUGAAUUAUUCACCCUUGUCUUUUGCGUACUUCUUGUUUCCUUGGUGGGUUCGCCCACCACUAGGACAAACAUAAACCUUUUGUAAUUGCAAUCAGCGUCAGUAACAAAUUAAUAAUUACAACUUUCAACAACGGAUCUCUUGGUUCUGGCAUCGAUGAAGAACGCAGCGAAAUGCGAUAAGUAGUGUGAAUUGCAGAAUUCAGUGAAUCAUCGAAUCUUUGAACGCACAUUGCGCCCUUUGGUAUUCCAAAGGGCAUGCCUGUUCGAGCGUCAUUUGUACCCUCAAGCUUUGCUUGGUGUUGGGCGUCUUGUCUCUAGCUUUGCUGGAGACUCGCCUUAAAGUAAUUGGCAGCCGGCCUACUGGUUUCGGAGCGCAGCACAAGUCGCACUCUCUAUCAGCAAAGGUCUAGCAUCCAUUAAGCCUUUUUUUCAACUUUUGACCUCGGAUCAGGUAGGGAUACCCGCUGAACUUAAGCAUAUCAAAA